GAUGAACGCUGACAGAAUGCUUAACACAUGCAAGUCUACUUGAACUUCGGUUUGGGUGGCGGACGGGUGAGUAACGCGUAAAGAACUUGCCUCACAGUUAGGGACAACAUUUGGAAACGAAUGCUAAUACCUGAUAUUAUGAUUUUAGGGCAUCCUAGGAUUAUGAAAGCUAUAUGUGCUGUGAGAGAGCUUUGCGUCCCAUUAGCUAGUUGGAGAGGUAACGGCUCACCAAGGCGAUGAUGGGUAGCCGGCCUGAGAGGGUGAACGGCCACAAGGGGACUGAGACACGGCCCUUACUCCUACGGGAGGCAGCAGUGGGGAAUAUUGGACAAUGGACCAAAAGUCUGAUCCAGCAAUUCUGUGUGCAUGAUGACGUUUUUCGGAAUGUAAAGUGCUUUCAGUUGGGAAGAAAAAAAUGACGGUACCAACAGAAGAAGUGACGGCUAAAUACGUG
rnacentral:rRNA from 1 species